UUGUCAAAUAUAGCGCGUGAUGUAUUAGCUGUGCCCGUGUCUACCGUUGCUUCUGAGUCGGCUUUUAGUACGGGUGGUCGCAUACUUGAUCCAUUUCGGAGUUCACUCUCACCGUCAAUGGUCGAGACUCUUGUAUGCAUCCAAAAUUGGCAUUUUAGCACGGUUCCAAUCUCUCUUCGACAGGCUAUGGAUAAAGUUGAAGAUCUUGAACGAGAACUCUUACAAACUGAUGAUGCUUCUUAGGGAUUGAUGGGGCUUUGGACCUUGGUUUGAACUUUGAACGGACAUGAGAAAUAUGGGGUUGGGAGCAGCAGCACUAUGGAGUAUUGGCUAAUUUAAAUUAUUAUGGACUUCUUUUAAUCAUUUUAGACUUGUUUUGGUGGUCGUCUGAACUUGUAAUAUGGUGGUGGAAAACUGAAAAUAUUUUGACUUGUUGAUUGGUUGUGUUUGUGUAUGGUUGCUGAAAAAACAGGGGAGUAGAGACUAGAGAGCUGGCUGCUCUCUGUAAUUUAUUUUUGUGUUUUUGCUGUGUGGUGGUGGUGGAAAC